CGGUGCCGCGUUGCAUAAGAAGGGCUUCGGGUUGUAAACUGCUUGUGUACGGAACGAAACGGUGAUCUCUAAUACAGAUUGCUAAUGACGGUACCGUAAGAAUAAGCACCGGCUAACUACGUGCCAGCAGCCGCGGUAAUACGUAGGGUGCGAGCGUUAAUCGGAAUUACUGGGCGUAAAGCGUGCGCAGGCGGUUUUGUAAGACAGACGUGAAAUCCCCGGGCUCAACCUGGGAAUGGCGUUUGUGACUGCAAGGCUGGAGUGCGGCAGAGGGGGAUGGAAUUCCGCGUGUAGCAGUGAAAUGCGUAGAUAUGCGGAGGAACACCGAUGGCGAAGGCAAUCCCCUGGGCCUGCACUGACGCUCAUGCACGAAAGCGUGGGGAGCAAACAGGAUUAGAUACCCUGGUAGUCCACGCCCUAAACGAUGUCAACUGGUUGUUGGGUAUUUACUUACUCAGUAACGAAGCUAACGCGUGAAGUUGACCGCCUGGGGAGUACGGCCGCAAGGUUGAAACUCAAA
rnacentral:rRNA from 1 species